AAAUAACGAUAAAUUCAAGACACAGAGUUUUAAAGAAGUUAAUGUAAGACAAUUUUUCAUGAGUAAAGAAGCCACAAUGAAGAUGCAGCAGUUUUGAAUAAGUAUGCAACAAUUAAAACUGCAGCAAAAUUAAUCAACAAAGAUAUAGGAAGUGUAAGAAGAGAGAGAAAAAAUACUGUUAGGAGAUUUUAGUGCAUCUCUCUCGGUCCAUAAGAGUAGAAAUUUAAAUCAGGUAUAGUAAACUAAAAUGAAAGUAAGAAUCUACAAUCAUCUGAAAUUAAAAAUAUUUUUAAAACUUUAAAAAGUCAAUCAAGGCCGGGCGCGGUGGCUCAAGCCUGUAAUCCCAGCACUUUGGGAGGCCGAGACGGGCGGAUCACGAGGUCAGGAGAUCGAUACCAUCCUGGCUAACAUGGUGAAACCCCGUCUCUACUAAAAAAAUACAAAAAACUAGCUGGGCGAGGUGGCGGGCGCCUGUAGUCCCAGCUACUCGGGAGGCUGAGGCAGGAGAAUGGCGUAAACCCGGGAGGCGGAGCUUGCAGUGAGCUGAGGCAGGAGAAUGGCGUAAACCCGGGAGGCGGAGCUUGCAGUGAGCUGAGAUCCGGCCACUGCACUCCAGCCUGGGCGACAGAGCCAGAGUCCGUCUCAAAAAAAAAAAAAAAAAAAAAAAAAAAAAUUUUUUUAGACUUCACAUAUUGCUUAUAGAGAAAAAUAGGAGGAGGAGUCAGGAAGUGAAACUCACUUGAUUUUGAAUGCAAGCUCAGUUAUCUAUCUUCCAGUCACCUGAUCUUUCAGAUUCUCACUUUUCUCUUUUUCUUUUGGUAAAAUGGGGUUAACGAACCUCACCUCAGCAAUGUAGCCUAGGUGUAGCCAGUGUUUCUUUGAUUAAGAUUCUAGAAUUGUUUGCAAAAUAUAGAAGAGGUGAGCAAUGUCCUUCUGGAGAUCCCAUUCAAGAAUAUAAAUUGUCUGGAGAAGUGUGGGCUGCAGGUUCUUGUUUGGAUUUGAAUUGAAAUAAGCAAAGCAUCAGCCUCAAGCUCCUGGACCAUCAUAGGCAUUCAAGCAGCUGUAGUCAAUAUCGUCAUUGCUAUGCUCAAAUUCCUCCUGGCAAAACGUAUCUGGGCCACAAAUAAAUAUUGAUCCUAUGAUCCCUUGACUCUUAGCCUAAAUCCUUAAGCUACAUUUCAUCUGUUUUACAAUUAAAAUAGGGAGAUAGAGAAGCCUUAGAUUAUUAUCUCUCUUAAUCUGAAAGUCACAGGAAUUGUUCAUUUGAAGAUGGUUAAGAAAGUGCAUUUUUGCUUGACGCUCAACUCUUAAACCUUACCAAAAAUAAUAACACUUUUAAAAAGGAAUGAGAAUAAGAGAGAAGAUGACACAAGGGAAGCACCACCACAAACCAAAAGCUGUGGGACACACCUGCCAAAUAGCACCUAGUUUAAGCCUAGAUGGUGGAGGAUACUAAGCAAAGAAAUACUCCACCAUCUUGGAUCUCAAGCAGAGUACGUUGUCCCUAAAAUGCCAACUUUUUGAGCAAUGUAGCCAGUGUGUAGCCAAUGUAUAGCCAAUUGUUCUUUGAUUAAGAUUCUAGAAUUGUUUGCAAAAUAUAGAAGAGGGGAGCAAUGUCCUUCUGGAGAUCUCAUCCAAGAAUAUAAAUUGUCUGAAGAAGUGUGGGCUGCAGGACUCAGGGCAUCAUUGUCUCUUAGCAGAUAAAUAUUGUGGAGGUCAAAAGGAUUCCAAGAGGGAGAGGAGGUGGUAAUUCAAGAUAGCAGCACAGAGAAUCUGUGGCCUUGCUC
rnacentral:lncRNA from 1 species